AGAAUCAACGCUGGCGGCGUGCCUAACACAUGCAAGUCGCACGAGAAAGGGGAGCAAUCCCUGAGUAAAGUGGCGCACGGGUGAGUAACACGUGAAUAAUCUACCUCCGAGUGGGGAAUAACUGAGAGAAAUCUUAGCUAAUACCGCAUAACACUUACGAGUCAAAGCAGCAAUGCGCUUGGAGAGGAGUUCGCGGCCGAUUAGUUAGUUGGCGGGGUAAUGGCCCACCAAGACGAUGAUCGGUAUCCGGCCUGAGAGGGCGCACGGACACACUGGAACUGAAACACGGUCCAGACUCCUACGGGAGGCAGCAGUGGGGAAUUUUGCGCAAUGGGGGAAACCCUGACGCAGCAACGCCGCGUGGAGGAGUGAAGCCCCUUGGGGUGUAAACUCCUUUCGAUCGGGAAGAUAAUGACGGUACCGAUAUAAGAAGCCCGGCUAACUUCGUGCCAGCAGCCGC
rnacentral:rRNA from 1 species